rnacentral:lncRNA from 1 species
CGGUGGCCGAUGGACGGUGGCCCGAUGAUCGGUCAAAAAGGGACCGAGAGAGAGAGAUGAAGAGCUCCUCUUUUUUUGAGAAAAUGUUUUUAAAACUGUUUUUUUGUUCAUUUUGUUAUUUUUAUAAGAAAUGAAACGGCGCCGUUUUAGUCCUACAUGACCCGCGCGCGAUCCGACCCGCUCCAGUGGGGAUCCGCGCGUUUUCAUGAAGUGGGCUAUUUAGUCCUUGGUCCCUC